GACGAACGCUGGCGGCGUGCCUAAUACAUGCAAGUAGAACGCUGAAGAGAGGAGCUUGCUCUUCUUGGAUGAGUUGCGAACGGGUGAGUAACGCGUAGGUAACCUGCCUUGUAGCGGGGGAUAACUAUUGGAAACGAUAGCUAAUACCGCAUAACAAUGGAUGACACAUGUCAUUUAUUUGAAAGGGGCAAUUGCUCCACUACAAGAUGGACCUGCGUUGUAUUAGCUAGUAGGUGAGGUAAUGGCUCACCUAGGCGACGAUACAUAGCCGACCUGAGAGGGUGAUCGGCCACACUGGGACUGAGACACGGCCCAGACUCCUACGGGAGGCAGCAGUAGGGAAUCUUCGGCAAUGGGGGCAACCCUGACCGAGCAACGCCGCGUGAGUGAAGAAGGUAUUCGGAUCGUAAAGCUCUGUUGUAAGUCAAGAACGGGUGUGAGAGUGGAAAGUUCACACUGUGGCGGUAGCUUACCAGAAAGGGACGGCUAACUACGUG
rnacentral:rRNA from 1 species